rnacentral:piRNA from 1 species
UUGACGCAAUCCUUAAAAUCA